CCCGACUUGUCGGGGCUUUGCGAAAGUGCCGGUAAUACCUGAUGACAUCACUGGACCGCAUGGUCCGGUGAUCAAAGGUCCGCAGGUCUGGGAGCGGCCUAUCUCCUAUCAGCUUGUUGGUGGGGUAACGGCCUACCAAGGCAUCGACAGGUACCAGGCGUGAGAGCGCGAUCUGGCACAUCGGGACUGAGACACUGCCCGGACAUCUACGGAUGGCUGCAGCAACGAAUAUUCCGCAAUGGGCGAAAGCCUGACGGAGCGACGCCGCGUGUAGGAUGAAGCACUUCGGUGUGUAAACUACUGUCANGGGUUAGGAAGAAAGUGACCAACCCCAAAGGAAGCCUCGGCUAACUCCGUGCCAGCAGCCGCGGUAAUACGGAGGAGGCAAGCGUUGUUCGGAAUUACUGGGCUUAAAGCGUGCGUAGGCGGGAUGGCAGGUGUCGUGUGAAAGCCCUCGGCUCAACCGAGGAAUUGUUCGGCAAACCGUCAUUCUUGAGGCCAGCAGGGGGACCUGGAACUUUGGGUGGAGCGGUGAAAUGCGUAGAUAUCCAAGGGAACGCCGGUGGCGAAAGCGGGGUCCUGGGCUGGUUCUGACGCUGAGGCACGAAAGCGUGGGUAGCAAACAGGAUUAGAUACCCUGGUAGUCCACGCCGUAAACGAUGCGCACUAGGUAUCAGCGCCUCUGACGGGGUUGGUGCCGUAGAGAAAUCAUUAAGUGCGCCGCCUGGGGAGUACGGCCGCAAGGCUAAAACUCAAAGGAAUUGACGGGGGCUCACACAAGCGGUGGAGCAUGUGGAUUAAUUCGAAGCAACGCGAAGAACCUUACCUGGGUUUGACAUGCUAGGAUGCACCCGUGAAAGCGGGCUAUGCUGCUCUUUGAGUGAAACUAGCACAGGUGCUGCACGGCUGUCGUCAGCUCGUGCUGUGAAGUGUC
rnacentral:rRNA from 1 species